AGUGAACGCUGGCGGUAGGCCUAACACAUGCAAGUCGAACGGCAGCACAGUAAGAGCUUGCUCUUACGGGUGGCGAGUGGCGGACGGGUGAGGAAUACAUCGGAAUCUACUUUUUCGUGGGGGAUAACGUAGGGAAACUUACGCUAAUACCGCAUACGACCUACGGGUGAAAGCAGGGGAUCUUCGGACCUUGCGCGAUUGAAUGAGCCGAUGUCGGAUUAGCUAGUUGGCGGGGUAAAGGCCCACCAAGGCGACGAUCCGUAGCUGGUCUGAGAGGGUGAUCAGCCACACUGGAACUGAGACACGGUCCAGACUCCUACGGGAGGCAGCAGUGGGGAAUAUUGGACAAUGGGCGCAAGCCUGAUCCAGCCAUACCGCGUGGGUGAAGAAGGCCUUCGGGUUGUAAAGCCCUUUUGUUGGGGAAGAAAAGCAGCAGGUUAAUACCCCGCUGUUCUGACGGUACCCAAAGAAUAAGCACCGGCUAACUUCGUG
rnacentral:rRNA from 1 species